CUCGCUGAUAGAUAGGGAAGUGAGUUGGUCCGGUUCACACAUGGGCUCCACAGAUGCGGCAAUUGCUAACAGACGCAAUAUUAGAAGAUAUCCACGACACUCUCCAGGCCUUGAGGAAAUGUCUUUUGACAUGAAACAACUGUAGCCAUACCACUGUGUCUCAAUCCCAUCUGUAUCCUUCAUUGGAGCUUUGGGUUCCUUUACAGUUUUGAAGAUGAUUUCCUAAAAGAAGCCAUGUUCAGGAUUCUCCUUCAUAUAGGCUUUGCUUUGGCCAUGUUGGGGGAGACAUGGAGGCUACUGUGAUUGUCAGCUAUGGAUUUGUAAUCACAGAAAGAACAAGGGAUGCAAACAGCAAUGCAUAAAUCUUAAUGCCGACAUUGUAAUCCUGGAUGAACCUGGACUAUGAACCAGAAAAGACAUGAUGAACAGAAAAUAGAACUACAAGUCCCGGAAACAUGUCAGAAACAAGAUGACACACAGGCACUGGAGGAGGGACCUAGAAGUAGUGAG